UUGAAACAAAGAAUCUAACAGGACUGACAGAAGAAUCUCUCAAAUUCAAUCCAAGAUAAGGAGUGUGUCUAU